GAUGAACGCUGGCGGCGUGCCUAAUACAUGCAAGUCGAGCGAACGGACGAGAAGCUUGCUUCUCUGAUGUUAGCGGCGGACGGGUGAGUAACACGUGGAUAACCUACCUAUAAGACUGGGAUAACUUCGGGAAACCGGAGCUAAUACCGGAUGAUAUUUUGAACCGCAUGGUUCAAAAGUGAAAGACGGUCUUGCUGUCACUUAUAGAUGGAUCCGCGCUGCAUUAGCUAGUCGGUAAGGUAACGGCUUACCAAGGCAACGAUGCAUAGCCGACCUGAGAGGGUGAUCGGCCACACUGGAACUGAGACACGGUCCAGACUCCUACGGGAGGCAGCAGUAGGGAAUCUUCCGCAAUGGGCGAAAGCCUGACGGAGCAACGCCGCGUGAGUGAUGAAGGUCUUCGGAUCGUAAAACUCUGUUAUUAGGGAAGAACAUAUGUGUAAGUAACUGUGCACAUCUUGACGGUACCUAAUCAGAAAGCCACGGCUAACUACGUG
rnacentral:rRNA from 1 species